UUCUCUGAAACCAAUGUAUUGAAUAUAUAUAUAUAUGUAUCUUUGCACUGUCACGAACUGCGGAGGGACCGGGGCCUUUGUCAGGCUGUUCGCCUUUAGCCCUUGCCCCUGCAGUGAGCUCUGUAUUCGGCUUACUGUGAAUAAAAGUAUUACUACUA